UACGUAGGGUGCGAGCGUUGUCCGGAAUUAUUGGGCGUAAAGGGCUCGUAGGCGGUUUGUCACGUCGGGAGUGAAAACUCGGGGCUUAACCCCGAGCCUGCUUCCGAUACGGGCUGACUAGAGGUAUGCAGGGGAGAACGGAAUUCCUGGUGUAGCGGUGAAAUGCGCAGAUAUCAGGAGGAACACCGGUGGCGAAGGCGGUUCUCUGGGCAUUAACUGACGCUGAGGAGCGAAAGCAUGGGGAGCGAACAGG
rnacentral:rRNA from 1 species